rnacentral:rRNA from 1 species
GAUGAACGCUGGCGGCGUGCCUAAUACAUGCAAGUCGAGCGAACGGACGAGAAGCUUGCUUUUCUGAUGUUAGCGGCGGACGGGUGAGUAACACGUGGAUAACCUACCUAUAAGACUGGGAUAACUUCGGGAAACCGGAGCUAAUACCGGAUAAUAUUUUGAACCGCAUGGUUCAACAGUGAAAGACGGUCUUGCUGUCACUAAUAGAUGGAUCCGCGCUGCAUUAGCUAGUUGGUAAGGUAACGGCUUACCAAGGCAACGAUGCAUAGCCGACCUGAGAGGGUGAUCGGCCACACUGGAACUGAGACACGGUCCAGACUCCUACGGGAGGCAGCAGUAGGGAAUCUUCCGCAAUGGGCGAAAGCCUGACGGAGCAACGCCGCGUGAGUGAUGAAGGUCUUCGGAUCGUAAAACUCUGUUAUUAGGGAAGAACAUAUGUGUAAGUAACUGUGCACAUCUUGACGGUACCUAAUCAGAAAGCCACGGCUAACUACGUG